rnacentral:rRNA from 1 species
UACGUAGGGGGCAAGCGUUGUCCGGAUUUACUGGGCGUAAAGAGCGUGUAGGCGGCCACGCAGGUCCGUUGUGAAAACUGGAGGCUCAACCUCCAGCUGUCGACGGAAACCGUGUGGCUAGAGUCCGGAAGAGGAGAGUGGAAUUCCUGGUGUAGCGGUGAAAUGCGCAGAUAUCAGGAAGAACACCAAUGGCGAAGGCAGCGUCCUCUGGGACGGUACUGACGCGAGACGCGAAAGCGUGGGGAGCGAACAGG